GCAGAGGGUGACCUGGCUGUGACACCUGUCACUCCACUGAUCAUCAGGAUUGGUUCUGCCCAUUUGGCUGACUACAAGUGUGUCCCCUUCUUCCCUCCCCACUCCAUGAAUUCCUCUUGAAUCUUUGCAUUUGGUGGAAGAGGACAACUUCCCCAGUAGAGAAGAACAGUUCUUCCUCCUGGGGUCAUGUAGCUGUGCUCCUCUGCUAAAGCUUCCGAUUUUUUUUUCAAGAUCCAGAUAAAAGGUUUUCU
ensembl:misc_RNA 7SK 7SK RNA